rnacentral:rRNA from 1 species
GAACACCUUCGGGUGUGAAUUAGCGGCGAACGGGUGAGGAACACGUGAAGAAUCUGCCUUCAACUCUGGGAUAACUCCGGGAAACCGGGGCUAAUACCGGAUAUGAGCCUUGAUCGCAUGAUCGGGGCUGGAAAGUUUUUCGGUUGAAGAUGACUUCGCGGCCUAUCAGCUUGUUGGUGAGGUAAUGGCUCACCAAGGCGACGACGGGUAGCCGGCCUGAGAGGGCGACCGGCCACACUGGGACUGAGACACGGCCCAGACUCCUACGGGAGGCAGCAGUGGGGAAUAUUGGGCAAUGGAGGAAACUCUGACCCAGCGACGCCGCGUGAGGGAUGAAGGCCUUCGGGUUGUAAACCUCUUUCAGUAGGGAAGAAGCGAAAGUGACGGUACCUACAGAAGAAGCACCGGCUAACUAUGUGCCAGCAGCCGCGGUAAUACAUAGGGUGCAAGCGUUGUCCGGAAUUAUUGGGCGUAAAGAGCUCGUAGGUGGUUCGAUACGUCGGAUGUGAAAAUCAGGGGCUCAACCCCUGACCUGCAUCCGAUACGGUCGAGCUGGAGUUUGGUAGGGGAGACUGGAAUUCCUGGUGUAGCGGUGGAAUGCGCAGAUAUCAGGAGGAACACCGAUGGCGAAGGCAGGUCUCUGGGCCAAUACUGACACUGAGGAGCGAAAGCGUGGGGAGCGAACAGGAUUAGAUACCCUGGUAGUCCACGCCGUAAACGGUGGGCGCUAGUUGUGCGAACCUUCCACGGUUUGUGCGACGCAGCUAACGCAUUAAGCGCCCCGCCUGGGGAGUACGAUCGCAAGAUUAAAACUCAAA